CACACAUGAUUUCUUCACAAAGUUAUUUGAACAAGAAAAAUUAGGAUAAUGUAAUCAAUCCCCCCCUUUUUUUUUUCUUUCUUUUAAUUCUAAUGAUUUAUAUCUAUGUACCUAAGAGCAUGUUGAUAAUUUGAUGUGUGUAUGGUUGCUUCUUAAUAAUUGCAGAAUUUGUGUAAUAAUCGGAGAUGGUUUAUUAGCUUCCAGAGGGGGAAUUAAUCUUGCAACAAUCAUUGCAGGAAUUAGCUUAUUUUGCAGGCUGUUACUGCUCAGAGAAGCUUCCAAAUGUAGGAGCUUUUCAUUUUCCAAAAGGUUGAUAAGCCAUAGGAUUUUCUUCUUCACGUGACUGCAGUCUCUGUUCAAACAUGGGGCAGCAUUCUGCAUGUUCUUUUGGCCAUAGAUGAAUGGAAUAGAUGGAAGUCAUGGAACCUUUCAGGCCAAAGAGAGUAAAAAGUGUAAAGAUGGUAGAGCAUGACAGUAAAAGAAGCAGUUCAGAUAAACAUCCCAAACUGGAAUAAUUCGUCGCAAAGCAAAGCAAUGGUUGGUAAUGGCGUAAUGCUCAAACCACAGGACUUUUGGAAUUUUUAUUUUCCCAGUAGUUGAAUCUUGAAUCUUUUGGAUCUUGACACACCUUCUACUGUUGUAGCAUCUGCCUCAUCUCCAUAUAUUUCAAAGAUGCUUCGUAAAACUUCGAUUAGGGUGUAUGAAUAAUAAUCGAGCCUCCAACUAUACUACAAGAACUAGCAUAUAAUGCAGGGUAAAGGCUGUGCAUAAGUUGACAAUUUGUAGUCCCAAGAAAAUUAGCGAUUGCUCCAGUGAGAUGGUUUUUGCCACAACAAAACUUUAAUGAUGGUUCCAUUAAUCAUGCAACCCGUCUCAUAACUCCUUUUCAGUGAGAGGGAUAUCAACCAUUAUAUGGUCACACAAUUCCCACUGAAGCCAACAAAGGGAAAUUAAACCAUGUUUGACUUAGAUUUGCUCAAAUUCGAUAAUGUUGGUCUUAGAUUCGGCAACGUUUGGCCUAGAUUCAGCAAUGUUUGGCUCAGAUCCGCUUAAAUCCAGCUGAAUCUUUAUCUCCCCCACUAAGAUCUGGCGAAGAUCUACCACCCUCCACCCACCACCACUCCUUCAUCAGUUUCAACCAAACUGACCAAUCGUCCACCAGAGCCCGAUCAAUCUAUUAUUUUUCUUUUUGGUGUUCGUUUUUCAAAUUCAAUGAGCUUUUGCCUAAAAUUUGUUCCAUCUAGUGAAGCAUCUUGCCAACGGGUUUUCUUGCUUACGAAUUAAUAUAAUUAAAAUAAGCAAUGUUGUUAAUAUGUAUAAACUGAAUUAGGUACAUUGCAUGUGUUUGUCUUUGGGAGGCAAAUCUGAUACCUUUAGAAUUGUGUGGUGUGUAAAGAAGUUCAAAACUCCAAUUUUCAAUUUGGUUUGAUCAA